AAAUCUAAUUUAGAGAGAAUGAGAUGUUUUAAAGAAAGUACUUUCUUAAAGGCAGGUGAGAACAUGAUCACAUGAACAUGACUUUUCAGACAUUUCCUGGCUUUCGCUAGGCUGCCCGUUCUGUUCCCCAGCACACCACACGAUGGUUUAUCCGCUUCCAGGCGAGCUCAGAGAACUCCACGAACCUGGCAGCCUUGAGGAACUUAUCACUGAGGACCGACAACCCUGCCUGGAAGGAGCCUUAGACAUCAGCUAGUACAAGGCUGAAGCCCAGAGAAGCUGAUGUUUUGGAAACAAAAGAUGAAACUGCCGAGGACACCCAUACAUAUUACUAUUAAAAUAUCCAGUAUUUUCUUUAUAUCAAGUAACUUUUCCUAUUUGUCUACUCCUAAGCAAUAACAUCCAUUAAAUGGGUUUUGUGUGUUAUUCAUCUUUUUCUAAUACGUAUUAGAAUAAACAAGUAACUACUCAAAUAAAAAAUGGUUCAUGGGACUCAA